rnacentral:rRNA from 1 species
AUUGAACGCUGGCGGCAUGCCUUACACAUGCAAGUCGAACGGCAGCACGGGUGCUUGCACCUGGUGGCGAGUGGCGAACGGGUGAGUAAUACAUCGGAACGUACCUUAUCGUGGGGGAUAACGCAGCGAAAGCUGUGCUAAUACCGCAUACGCCCUGAGGGGGAAAGCGGGGGAUCGAAAGACCUCGCGCGAUUAGAGCGGCCGAUGCCUGAUUAGCUUGUUGGUGGGGUAAAAGCCCACCAAGGCGACGAUCAGUAGCUGGUCUGAGAGGACGAUCAGCAAGCCGGGGACUGGGACAAGGCCCAGAGUCCGACGGGAGGCAGCAGUGGGGAAUUUUGGACAAUGGGGGCAACCCUGAUCCAGCAAUGCCGCGUGAGUGAAGAAGGCCUUCGGGUUGUAAAGCUCUUUUGUCAGGGAAGAAACACCGGCUCUAACACAGUCCGGGAAUGACGGUACCGUAAGAAUAAGCACCGGCUAACUACGUGCCAGCAGCCGCCGUAA